rnacentral:rRNA from 1 species
UACGUAGGGCGCAAGCGUUGUCCGGAAUUAUUGGGCGUAAAGAGCUCGUAGGCGGCUUGUAACGUCGGGUGUGAAAGCCCGGGGCUUAACCCCGGGUCUGCAUUCGAUACGGGCUAGCUAGAGUGUGGUAGGGGAGAUCGGAAUUCCUGGUGUAGCGGUGAAAUGCGCAGAUAUCAGGAGGAACACCGGUGGCGAAGGCGGAUCUCUGGGCCAUUACUGACGCUGAGGAGCGAAAGCGUGGGGAGCAAACAGG